UUAUGGGUAUUUUGGUAAAUUGAUUCUCAUUCUCAUUCCUCAUUCCCAUUUAUUUUGCUAACUAAACACAUCAACGCCAUUCCAGCACAUUCUCAUUCUCAUUCCCAUUUAUUUUUGCCAAGUAAACAUUGAAAUCUCAUUCUCAUUCCCAACACAUUCCCAUUCCAUGAAGUAAAAGCACGAUUAAAGAAAAUUAUCUCUACACCAUUUUGGUUUUAUAAUCUGUACAUUUAACUACCACAUAAUUGUGAUAUGUUCUCUGUAUCACCGUUGUUUCUAAAUUUAUAUCAAUCAACUACAUUGACACUAAGAAUUUAGAUAAAAUGAAUAUUUUAUCUCUAAAUGAAUUAAAAGACCAAUUUAUCGAAAUUUUUUAAAAUAAAAAAAUUAUUUUUACAAGAAUACUUUUGAACUUAAUAAAAUAAAUAAAUCUCAAAAUCCAAGGUUUUAUUUUUAUAAUUAUAAUUUUUAAAUGAUAAUUCUUGUAAUUAUGAUUUGUUUAAUAUUCAAAGCUAGUUUAGACUAUUGUUAUUUUACUGAUUAAUUUAAACAAUCAAAAUCGUUUGAUAAUUUGAUUGUAUGAUUGAUAAAGAAACGAUUAAAAAUCAAUAAUAUUUUAUCAAUUAAUUAAAUGGUGAUUAUAAUUUUUUUAUUUCUAAAAAUUUUGUAGGAUAAAAUAGUCUAUUAAUUCAUUUAGGGGUAGAAUAGUUAUUUUAUUUAAAUUCUUAGUGUCAAAGUGGUUAAUUGAUAUAAAUUUAAAAACAAAGGUGGUACAAAGAAUAUGUCAAAAUUUUGUAAUAAUUAAAUGUACAUAUGACAAAACAAAAAUUGUGUAGAGAUAAUUUUCUAUUUCUUAACUUGGUGUCGCAGGACACGAAGGGCAGAAAGAACCAAGAGUACUACAAGAAUUGCUCCCACAUCCUGAUGCAUUCACAAGUAGCUAGAAAAUUGUAAACUUAAUAUAUUAGAUUUAUUCAGCUUGUAAAAUUAGUAUUAGCAUGCAAUGAUAUCACAUUUUUAUCACUUUGAUGGAUUUUUGGGGGGGGGGGGGGGGGGAAGGGGGGAAGGAGGGAAGUGCUAUUGUGAUUAAAUUCCUCUAUUUGAAAUUUUUUUUUAACGCAACUAACCUUUACUGACACUUGAUUUUCUGAUAAUUUAUAAAAAAAUUUCAGUAAUUAUAUUCCGCUGUUAACAAAAAUAGGUAUAACAAAUAAUUGAUACUAAUGUGGCAAUAAAUUAAAUAUCAGAAAUGAUUGACACUGAAGUAUUAAAGUUUAAAAAAAUGAUUAUAAUUUGUAAAUGUCCCAACUCAAACCUAAGACUCUAAAAUUCAAAAUUUUUAUUAUUUGGACAACAAACCAUUAAAUCCAUAGAGUUAAGAUACAAACAUUACAUUAAAAAUAAAAAAAAACAAAAAUAUAACAACAAAAGUAAAACCCCUAAAUCCCAACUGAAAUCUCUUUCCCCCAUUUCAUCGUAUCGUCAAUCGACACUUACGAAACACCCACCACCACGCCACCGACACACUCAAAACCUACAUCACUGCUUUCGACUAGCCACUGCUGUCAUCACCUAUGCACCAAAGUCUAAUCUCCAAAGUCUAAUCUCUGUAUUUUUGUCUCUUUUGCUCGGGCUGGAAAUCCACUGAAGUGACUCAUGAUUUGAAUUGUCAUUAGUAAUAAAUCCACUGCCAUCAUUACCCGUGGGCUGUAAUAAUUUGGAGCCAUCAUCAGUACUCAACCGUUCAUCACCGGUAGCAACUUCUCAGCCUCUCUCCAGCUGCUGCUGCCAGUGGCGGACCUUCAGCCCGGUCUAGCCGAGAAAAAAUCAUUUAUAUCCCUUGCUUUUCAUUAAUUUAGUAAAAGAAUAGUGUUUUUAUUUUAUUUUCAUAUAUGUCCCUAACUCAAUUACCCUUCUAUUUUCAUCAAUUUGGCAUAAUAAUAUAGUUUUUAUUUUAUAUUUAAAUAUGUCCCUAACUCAAUUACCCUUAUGUUUUCAUCAAUUUGGCAUAAUAAUAUAGUUUUUAUUUUAUAUUCAAAUAUGUCCCUAACUCAAUUACCCUUCUGUUUUUAUUUUAUUUACAAAUAUGU
rnacentral:lncRNA from 1 species